rnacentral:tRNA from 1 species
UGGCUCAGGUGGUAGAGCAUGGUGUUUGCAACGCCAGGGUUGUGGGUUUGAUUCCCAC